UACAUGCAACAAAGCCUGUCCUUUGCGGGAUGGGCGCACUUAUUAGAUCAAAACCAACCGGGUUUCGGCUCGACGGUUUGAUGACUCUGGAUAAUUUAUCUGAUCGCACGGCCUUUGUGUCGGCGACGUAUCUUUCAAAUGUCUGCCCUAUCAACUUACGAUGGUAGGUAAUUUGCCUACCACGGUUAUAACGGGUAACGGGGAAUCAGGGUUCGAUUCCGGAGAGGGAGCCUGAGAAAUAGCUACCACAUCCAAGGAAGGCAGCAGGCGCGCAAAUUACCCACUCCCGACACGGGGAGGUAGUGACGAAAAAUAACGAUGCGGGACUCAUACGAGGCCCCGUAAUUGGAAUGAGUACACUUUAAAUCCUUUAACGAGGAUCAAUUGGAGGGCAAGUCUGGUGCCAGCAGCCGCGGUAAUUCCAGCUCCAAUAGCGUAUAUUAAAGUUGUUGCAGUUAAAAAGCUCGUAGUUGGAUCUUAGGAUUUGGAUGGAUGGUUCGCCUUCGGGUGUGACUGUCUGUCUGGCCUACAUAGUCGUGGAUGCCUUGGGUGCUCUUUACUGAGUGCUCUUGGUGCCCGACGCAAUUACUUUGAAAAAAUUAGAGUGCUCAAAGCAGGCGUAUCGCCUGAAUAGUGUUGCAUGGAAUAAUGGAAUAGGAGUUUACUUCUAUUUUGUUGGUUUUCGGAGGUGAACUAAUGAUUAACAGGGACAGACGGGGGCAUUUGUAUGGAGGGGUUAGAGGUGAAAUUCUUGGAUCCUCUCCAGACAAACUACUGCGAAAGCAUUUGCCAGGAAUGUUUUCACUAAUCAAGAACGAAAGUCAGAGGUUCGAAGACGAUCAGAUACCGUCCUAGUUCUGACCAUAAACGAUGCCAUCUAACAAUCCACGAAGUUUGCUUGUACGAACUCGUGGGCGGUCCCCGGGAAACCAAAGAUUUUGGGUUCCGGGGGAAGUAUGGUUGCAAAGCUGAAACUUAAAGGAAUUGACGGAAGGGCACCACCAGGAGUGGAGCCUGCGGCUUAAUUUGACUCAACACGGGAAACCUCACCCGGCCCGGACACUGUAAGGAUUGACAGAUUAACGGCUCUUUCUUGAUUUGGUGGUUGGUGGUGCAUGGCCGUUCUUAGUUGGUGGAGCGAUUUGUCUGGUUAAUUCCGAUAACGAACGAGACUCUACUCUGCUAAAUAGAACGUCGAUAUAAGUUGGUGCUGACUUCUUAGAGAGACUAACGGCGUAUAGCCGUGUGAGAAAGAGCAAUAACAGGUCUGUGAUGCCCUUAGAUGUUCGGGGCCGCACGCGCGCUACACUGACUGCAUCAACUAGUAUGCUCCUGGUCUGAGAAGACUGGGUAACCUGGUUGAAUUGUAGGCGUGACAGGGAUCGGGGUUUGCAAUUAUCCCCCGUGAACGAGGAAUUCCCAGUAAGCGCAAGUCAUUAGCUUGUGCUGAUUACGUCCCUGCCCUUUGUACACACCGCCCGUCGCUACUACCGAUUGAAUGGUUUAGU
rnacentral:rRNA from 1 species